UGAGGAAUAUUGGACAAUGGAUGGAAAUCUGAUCCAGCCAUGCCGCGUGCAGGAAGACGGCCCUAUGGGUUGUAAACUGCUUUUGUAUGGGAGCAAUAAGGACUACGUGUAGUUUGAUGAGAGUACCAUACGAAUAAGCAUCGGCUAACUCCGUGCCAGCAGCCGCGGUAAUACGGAGUAUGCGAGCGUUAUCCGGAUUUAUUGGGUUUAAAGGGUGCGUAGGCGGCGAUAUAAGUCAGUGGUGAAAUAUUUCGGCUUAACCGAGAGACUGCCAUUGAUACUGUGUUGCUAGAAUAUGGUUGCUGUGAGUGGAAUGUGUGGUGUAGCGGUGAAAUGCUUAGAUAUCACACAGAAUAUCGAUUGCGAAGGCAGCUCACAAAGCCAUUAUUGACGCUGAGGCACGAAAGUGUGGGGAUCAAACA
rnacentral:rRNA from 1 species